GUUUUGUUUCUUCUUCAAUAGCAGCUCGAUGUUGAAGAUAACGCAAUUUUUCUUCGUCGCUCAUACGAGCUAAUUUUUUUCCUUUUUUGCUCUUCUUUGGUGGCAUUUCAAUUAAACAGCUCUCACUGGACCAAUUUUUGUCAACGAUACGCAAAAAAAAAAAACAAAUCGUUCUAGUUGAAGACAUUACCCUCAAUAGUUGAAAAAUUUACCCUAGAUCCCCGUAAAUGGUGAAAAUUCCCCCAAAAAUAUAAUUUUUAAAAUCGCUUGAGUUAUGUCAAUGUUCUGGAAAAACUGCAUCCUUCAAAAAUAUGUUAAAUUAAAGCUUCUGUAUUGAAGACUAAUAAAAAUAAAUAAAUAAGGUUUCUGUUACGUUCUAUAAAUUAAAAAAAAAAAAUUGUCCCAACGAUCUAUCUUUUAUGUGUAAAU